rnacentral:rRNA from 1 species
CCUACGGGAGGCAGCAGUGGGGAAUAUUGGGCAAUGGGCGCAAGCCUGACCCAGCAACGCCGCGUGAAGGAAGAAGGCUUUCGGGUUGUAAACUUCUUUUCUCAGGGACGAAGAAAGUGACGGUACCUGAGGAAUAAGCCACGGCUAACUACGUGCCAGCAGCCGCGGUAAUACGUAGGUGGCAAGCGUUAUCCGGAUUUACUGGGUGUAAAGGGCGUGUAGGCGGGAAAGCAAGUCAGAUGUGAAAACCAUGGGCUCAACCUGUGGCCUGCAUUUGAAACUGUUUUUCUUGAGUACUGGAGAGGCAGACGGAAUUCCUAGUGUAGCGGUGAAAUGCGUAGAGAUUAGGAGGAACACCAGUGGCGAAGGCGGUCUGCUGGACAGCAACUGACGCUGAGGCGCGAAAGCGUGGGGAGCAAACAGGAUUAGAUACCCGGGUAGUC